rnacentral:rRNA from 1 species
UUUGAGGGUUUGAUCCUGGCCCAGGAUUAACGCUGGCGGCAUGCCUAAUGCAUGCAAGUAGAACGAAGAAAAGCGCUUAACUGCGCGCCGAUGGAUGAGCCUAUCUCCCAUCAGGCUGUUGGUAGGGUAAUGGCCUACCAAACCUAUGACGGGUAGGGGGCGUGAGAGCGCGUUCCCCCAGAAUGGGACUGAGACCAAAACUGAUCUCCUGCAGAAGCAAUUCUGCAGUAAAAUUUGGCUACAGCAGCGGUAAUACAGAGGGUGCAAGCGUUAUCCGGAUUUAUUGGGCGUAAAGCGUUUCGUAGGUUUCUAGAUAAGUUACUCUUCAAAGACCACGGCUCAACCGGGGGAAGGGGAGUAAUACUAUCUGGAUUGAAAUAUGGUGGGGCUUCCGGAACUGAUGGUGUAGUAGUGAAAUACGUUGAUAUCAUCAGGAACUCCGAGGGCGAAGGCAGGAAGCUAACUAUUUUUUGACACUGAUGAACGACAGCUAGGGGAGCGAAAGGGAUUAGAGACCCCUGUAGUCCUAGCCGUAAACUUUGCUCGCUAGGGAUGGGGCCGUAAGGCUUCGUCCCGUAAGCUAACGCGUUAAGCGAGCCGCCUGGGGAGUACGGCCGCAAGGCUAAAACUCAAAGGAAUUGACGGGGACCCGCACAACCAGUGGAGCAUUUGACAUAAUACCGUUUUAAGCACCCAGAAAUGGGAGCCUAUCUUUAGAAAUAUUGAUGGUACUACAGGUGUUGCAUGGCCGUCGUCAGCUCGUGCCGUAGGGUGUUCCCUUCAGUGGGGUAACGAGCGCAACCCUUGUCCUGAGUUGAAUAUUCUCAGGAGACUCUUUGAAUUUAUUUCAGAGGGAAGUGAGGACGACGUCAGGUCAGCAUGGCCCUUAUAGCUGGGGCAACACACAUACUACAAUGGAGCCGACAGAGGGUUGCCAAGUGGCAACACGGAGCUAAUCCCAAAAACGGCUUCUCAGUGGGGAUUGGGGGCUGCAACUCGCCCCCAUGAACUUGGAAUUGGUAGUAAUCGCGGAUCAGCAUGCCGCGGUGAAUACGUUCUCGGGUCUUGUACACACCGCCGUAAUUUAAUUAACGCGCGUGGCAGUUAAGUUUUCCAGUAGGUUAAAAUCCUACCCCUUAGGAUACAUACAUCCGUCAAGUGAGUAAAGUUGUAUAUACCUUAAAUCCCGUUGUACGGGAUCAAGGUAGAGACAGCGAUAAGCACUAAGUCGUAACAAGGUAUCCGUACUGGAAGGUGCGGAUGGAUCACCUCCUU